GGUUGUCGUCCGACGGCCUGGGGCGUAGUGCUCUGUGUGCCCGCUCAUAGCUGAAUGUGUGUGGGGCAUCCGCUCCCAGGAUCAUGUGAAAGAUGUCAUUGAGGAUGUUUUCAGUAUUUUCCCCGUCUGCUUCAGGGACCCCACGGACCCUAAUGUUGCAUCUUCUCCCCCUAUUGUCCAGAUCCUCUAUUGUUCUCCUCAUGUGUAGGAGCAUUUCCCCCUGGCGUGCAAGGGCUGUAUCGGUCGCCUGCAGCCUAGUGGCCUGAG